GUUACGCUAGUUUUUCUUCGAAAAUAAACAAAUACCAAUGAAUUCAUAGGAGGAAACGUAAAAGAGUCGUGCAGCCUACUGUCAACUAUUUUGUUCAAAAUCAUUGUAUUUUACUGAAUGUGCCAUCAAAAUGAUACAGGAUUCAACAUAAUUAUCUGCUGUGUGUAUUGGACUUGCUAGAUCACCAACCCCAGC